rnacentral:rRNA from 1 species
GACGAACGCUGGCGGCGUGCUUAACACAUGCAAGUCGAACGAAGUGGCGAACGGGUGAGUAAUACGUGGGUAAACUGCCCUCCUUUUUGGGAUAAGCCUUGGAAACGGGGUCUAAUACCGAAUAAAGGGGGAUGGGCUCGCGGCCUAUCAGCUUGUUGGUGGGGUGAUGGCCUACCAAGGCGGUGACGGGUAGCCGGCCUGAGAGGUGGACAGGCCACAUUGGGACUGAGAAAAGUCCCAGACUCCUACGGGAGGCAGUAGUGGGGAAUCUUCCGCAAUGGAGGAAGAUCUGACGGAGAAACUCCGCGUGAGUGAUGACGGCCUUCGGGUUGUAAAGCUCUUUUAAUCGGGACACGGUACCGUAAUAGAAAGCAACGGCGAACUACUUGCCAGCAGCCGCGGUAAUAC